rnacentral:rRNA from 1 species
UACGUAGGGGGCAAGCGUUGUCCGGAAUCAUUGGGCGUAAAGCGCACGUAGGCGGCUCCAAAAGUCGGAUGUGAAAUCCCUCGGCUCAACCGAGAACGUGCAUCCGAAACUGCGGAGCUUGAGUAUGGAAGAGGGUCGCGGAAUCCCCGGUGUAGAGGUGAAAUUCGUAGAUAUCGGGGGGAACACCAGUGGCGAAGGCGACUACCUGGCCUGUUUCUUGACGCUGAGGCGCGAAAGCUAGGGGAGCAAACGGG